AAAACAUUGGUUUAGAUCACCCACACCUAUUGCUGAAGCCCUGUUCAACUUCAUCCCCUUGGGAGCACUGGCAUGCUGAGCAGCAAAUGAGCCUAGAAUUGUGCAAACCAUCGCCUCUGACCUACUUCCACAAGUCUCAGAUUAGCCGGACACUGUCUCCACCUUGUGGCUACUCAGCAAAGGAGGGGAACCAUCACAACAGAGCAGAGGUAAAUACUAUUUAUUUAAUUAUCAGACCAUUAAAACAAUUAAAUACCAUAAGUCAUCAGAAUAGGAAGCUUGACAUUUUUGACAUUUACUGUGGACCGGAUCCUGGCCCGGGGACAUUUCAUCUGUUUUGAGAAUGUGAAUUCAAAA